rnacentral:rRNA from 1 species
UACGUAGGAGGCAAGCGUUGUCCGGAAUUACUGGGCGUAAAGCGCGUGUAGGUGGUGGGACAAGUCUGCUGUGAAAGCGCCUGGCUUAACCGGGCGAGGUCGGCGGAAACUGUCCGACUAGAGGACGGUAGAGGGGGGUGGAAUUCCCGGUGUAGUGGUGAAAUGCGUAGAGAUGUGGAGGAACACCAGUGGCGAAGGCGGCUUUCUGGUCUGUAACUGACGCUGAGGCGCGAAAGCGUGGGGAGCAAACAGG